GUGGCGCUGUGCAUGCUGAUGAGCAGCCAGAUGUGAACCGCACAGCAAGGAGGUAUUUAUAUUUGGAAAAAGAAAAAAGAGUGAGGACAGGUGAGGACAAAGCUUUCAAAGAACUCCAGCGCUGAUGGUGCUGCGCUGCUGCCGUCUCAAGAUGGCCGCUUAAAAGCAGGAAGCACCAGCGUGACCACACAAUGCAGAGAAGAUCUCCCUGGUGGGGUCGUCCAGGAUGGAGCAGAUGAAGUCGUCGUCGUCCUCCUCCUCGUCUGUGGUGAGGGACGUCAGACGCUGUGCGAUCGGCGGCCGGGUGGCGCUCCCCUCCUCCUCCAUGCUGAACAUCAGGUCGUCCUCCAUCGUGUCCACUGUGGAUUCUAAAAAGACCAGACAGCUUAUGAGCAGUGUUUGGUUCAGAAUUAGGCUAAAAAUGCUAUUGAUCAAAAAAACAAACACAUAAAAAGUGGAUCAAAAGAGCAAACAGUUGAAAUGUAACGAUAAAAAGUUGCAAUGUUGACUCUAAUAACACAAAGCUGCCAUG